CCAUGUUAGAAAAUUCAAAAAAAAAAAAAAAUCUAGAAAGUUGGAGAGAAAGGAUAAGGUCAUGUGUUUAAUUCUUAUACUUGAGGGACUUAAAGAUAACUAUAGAUAAGUGGUGGAAAGAAAAGGAUAAAUAAGGCAUGCUUGUCUUCAUCUUUAGAAAGAUAAAAGAAAAAGAGACUUGGAGAGCAAAGCAGGACUACUCCAUUCGGCCAUGCUUGGAAAAAUAAGAACUUGGAAAAUCUUGAUAAAAAAAAAUAUUCUCUUCUAGCAAAACAACUAAGUUGAAGGCCCUAAUUAACAUGAAGUGGUUGUUGGAGCAAGAAAACCUUUCCUUGUUGCAAGUUCAUGAUCAUAGUCGAAUGAGAAGUUGAAGGAAAAAGAUUAGCGAAUUUGGACAAAUAAGCGUAGCUAGUAAGGCGUGGCACAGGUACCUACAGAUGAAUAGAAGAUUUGUCAGAAGAGGUUUCAGCAGGAUUGGCGAGCUCCAUUUGCUUCUGGAGCGUUGCCGAGUCAGAGUUUGUAUGUUAUGAUUUCUGGAUUGAUGUUAGAGACUUUGCAGACAGCGUCGUGGGUAUUGGUCGUCAGUCUGUAAGCGGCUCCAUCAGCCGAUGUGUCAUUCUGUGUUAUGUAAUAAAUUUUAUAUAAUUACGGAUUUUGUUUAAUUUUGAGAACGAUAAAAGAAAGAUUUCGA